AGUGAACGCUGGCGGUAGGCCUAACACAUGCAAGUCGAACGGCAGCACAGUAAUAGCUUGCUCUUACGGGUGGCGAGUGGCGGACGGGUGCGGAAUACAUCGGAAUCUACUUUUUCGUGGGGGCUAACGUAGGGAAACUUACGCUAAUACAGCAUACGACCUACGUGUGACAGCAGGCGAUCUUCGGACCUUGCGCGAUUGAAUGAGCCGAUGUCGGAUUAGCUAGUUGGCGGGGUAAAGGCCCACCAAGGCGACGAUCCUUAGCUGGUCUGAGAGGAUGAACAGCCACACUGGAACUGAGACAGGGUCCAGACUCUGACGGGAGGCAGCAGUGCGGAAUAUUGGACGAUGGGGGCAAGGCUGAUCCAGCCAUACCGGGUGGGUGAAGAAGGCCUUCGGGUUGUAAAACCCUUUUGUUGGGAAAGAAAAGCAGCAGUUUAAUACCCCGCUGUUCUGACGGUACCCAAAGAAUAAGCACCGGCUAACUUCGUG
rnacentral:rRNA from 1 species